UAGCGUAGGGGGCAAGCGUUGUCCGGAAUUAUUGGGCGUAAAGGGCUCGUAGGCGGUUUGUCGCGUCGGGAGUGAAAUCCACUGGCUUAACUGGUGGCUUGCUUUCGAUACGGGCAGACUGGAGGUAUGCAGGGGAGAACGGAAUUCCUGGUGUAGCGGUGAAAUGCGCAGAUAUCAGGAGGAACACCGGUGGCGAAGGCGGUUCUCUGGGCAUGUCCUGACGCUGAGGAGCGAAAGUGUGGGGAGCGAACAGG
rnacentral:rRNA from 1 species